AAUAAAUCAGAAAAUAAGGGAGGGGGUUUGUCCAUGGUCUACAGUCACUGGGAUUGUAACGGCCGAUGGAGAACUUUUUGAAGGGACAAGUGACCCUGUUUGCCGUCAGAAGUUCUCUUUCCUCUUUUUUAAAACUUUAGGAAUCUUAAGCCAAAGAAACGCUUACUUGUGCCCCCACGAUAAAAUUGCGCUAGUCGUCUUUUUUAUUAACUGCUUUAAAAGUUUAGAAAACGAAGUUGUUCGCUUGAAUGUUUUGCCUUCGGUUUCUCUCGGCAUUUGGGAUAAUCUACCUCCAUCAAAACUCGAAAAAGAACUUUCCUGUUCUAAAAAAUUGAAAACUGCCUGGGGUAAAUUGCAAAGCAGAUUGCAACUUUUAAGCGAAGAAGAAAGAG